CAGAAUACCACAAGAAGCCAAGUGCCUGAAAGAGGGAAAAUGCUUUUAGACGUGUUUGAUAUCCGCGAAAUAAACAACAAUGCAUUCAGUGACAGAAGCAUCUCCACUCACUCCUGCCACUCACUGCUUCCUCCCUGAGCACCUGAGGAGUGACCACGGCACCACCCAACUCCCAUGGCCUGAAAAGGAAGCAUUCCUGGAGUAUGACAUGCACAAUUCUUAUGAGGAUGACAGAGUUUGAUAAAGAAACACAGCAGCACUGCCACGGUGAGACUCCAUCCCUCUCCCAAUCCCUCUCACAGCAGCACUGCCGUAACAGUGCUAACAGGUGAACCUUUUACACUAAGAUUUUCAAAUCGCACUCUCUCAUCUGCUUGCUUUUUUUUCUUUCAGAUGAAAAGUUAACUCUUCACCAAAGCAUAUUGUUUUCCUCAAGCUGUUGCAGCCAGCCUUACACACGCUCAGGUGAGAAGGAACUUGUUGCAUUAUCUGAAGCGGAAAACAUCCGGGCGCUCCCUCAGUUUUGGACGGAUUGCUCCCAGCUCUGCCACUGUCUCGGGCAAACAGGAGGUGAGUUUCUAACCGGGCACGCGGCCCCUCUCAGUCACGCCCGCGGUAUCCGCGCCUCGCCC